UACGUAGGGUGCAAGCGUUGUCCGGAAUUAUUGGGCGUAAAGAGCUCGUAGGCGGUCUGUUACGUCGGCUGUGAAAACCUGGGGCUCAACUCCGGGCCUGCAGCCGAUACGGGCAGACUAGAGUUCGGCAGGGGAGACUGGAAUUCCUGGUGUAGCGGUGAAAUGCGCAGAUAUCAGGAGGAACACCGGUGGCGAAGGCGGGUCUCUGGGCCGAUACUGACACUGAGGAGCGAAAGCGUGGGGAGCGAACAGG
rnacentral:rRNA from 1 species